rnacentral:rRNA from 1 species
UGGGGAAUUUUGGACAAUGGGCGAAAGCCUGAUCCAGCAAUGCCGCGUGUGCGAAGAAGGCCUUCGGGUUGUAAAGCACUUUUGUCCGGAAAGAAAUCCUUGGCUCUAAUACAGUCGGGGGAUGACGGUACCGGAAGAAUAAGCACCGGCUAACUACGUGCCAGCAGCCGCGGUAAUACGUAGGGUGCAAGCGUUAAUCGGAAUUACUGGGCGUAAAGCGUGCGCAGGCGGUUUGCUAAGACCGAUGUGAAAUCCCCGGGCUCAACCUGGGGAACUGCAUUGGUGACUGGCAGGCUAGAGUAUGGCAGAGGGGGGUAGAAUUCCACGUGUAGCAGUGAAAUGCGUAGAGAUGUGGAGGAAUACCGAUGGCGAAGGCAGCCCCCUGGGCCAAUACUGACGCUCAUGCACGAAAGCGUGGGGAGCAAACAGGAUUAGAUACCCUGGUAGUCCACGCCCUAAAACGAUGUCAACUAGUUGUUGGGGAUUCAUUUCCUUAGUAACGUAGCUAACGCGUGAAGUUGACCGCCUGGGGAGUACGGUCGCAAGAUUAAAACUUAAAUGAAUUGACGGGGUCAUAGCUGUUUCCU